GGAAGACAGCUGUUGUUCCAGCGCGGGGAAGGCCGUUUACAUAUUUGAAUGGAAUUAUACACCGCUUUGUUUGGAGCUUCUAACCUUAACCAAGUAACCAGCAUCAGUGUCAGUUGGACUGCAC